GCAAGUCGAGCGGAUGAAGGGAGCUUGCUCCUGGAUUCAGCGGCGGACGGGUGAGUAAUGCCUAGGAAUCUGCCUGGUAGUGGGGGAUAACGUCCGGAAACGGGCGCUAAUACCGCAUACGUCCUGAGGGAGAAAGUGGGGGAUCUUCGGACCUCACGCUAUCAGAUGAGCCUAGGUCGGAUUAGCUAGUUGGUGGGGUAAAGGCCUACCAAGGCGACGAUCCGUAACUGGUCUGAGAGGAUGAUCAGUCACACUGGAACUGAGACACGGUCCAGACUCCUACGGGAGGCAGCAGUGGGGAAUAUUGGACAAUGGGCGAAAGCCUGAUCCAGCCAUGCCGCGUGUGUGAAGAAGGUCUUCGGAUUGUAAAGCACUUUAAGUUGGGAGGAAGGGCAGUAAGUUAAUACCUUGCUGUUUUGACGUUACCAACAGAAUAAGCACCGGCUAACUUCGUGCCAGCAGCCGCGGUAAUACGAAGGGUGCAAGCGUUAAUCGGAAUUACUGGGCGUAAAGCGCGCGUAGGUGGUUCAGCAAGUUGGAUGUGAAAUCCCCGGGCUCAACCUGGGAACUGCAUCCAAAACUACUGAGCUAGAGUA
rnacentral:rRNA from 1 species